CUCUGCCCGGCGGAGGAGAGACUCCACCCUAAACCACGACUCCCUUUAAAGCGGCUGCCGGCGGUCGGCCUCGGGUCUGCGGCGCUCCGGAAGACAGCUCCGGAGCUGCUGGUGACAGUUCGGCAUCUUUUUAUUGGAAGCAACAAGAAAAUAUAGAACGCAUCGAUGCCGAGAGCGAGAGGACGAAUCGGUCUGUCAUUACCGUUUGGUGAGAUCAUGUGGUGAUGCUUCAAGAGCUGUCAUUUCACAGGAAUGACGGGAAGAGGAGGAUGAGCCGUUCUUUCUCUCCGUGACCGGCAAGAAUGACCAAAACUUCCCCGUCGCUGCUUUAGUUUAACAAACUUGCACUAAUACAGAUAAAAACACAAAAACUAAUCUAAUAUUAAAUGUCAAGCUAUUUUAAUGUUGUGUCAUUGUAGUAGAGAAUGCAGCUUUAACACAUGAAGCAUAUACUUCUAUACAACCAGAGGAGUCGCCCCUUGGUGGUCAGGAGAGAGAAUGCAGCUUUAACACAUGAAGCAUAGACUUCUAUACAACCAGAGGAGUCGCCCCCUGGUGGUCAGGAGAGAGGAUGCAGCUUUAACACAUGAAGCAUAGACAUCUAUACAACCAGAGGAGUCGCCCCCUGGUUGUCAGGAGACAUAAGUGAAGCAAUCCAAUAAGCCCUACACAUUCGACUGCAUCGUGUGCUCCUCACUUUGAGUGCCGUCCUUUCUUACUAAAUUCAAGCCGCCCCCAGCGGGCGUCGGUUCCUCUCGCUCUCAUUUGCACCCUGAGGGUCGCUUCACACUCGGCUCGCCGCUAGCAAAGCUCUAUUUGCACGUCUAAGGAUUAAGCAAAGUGGCCAAAUUUCUUUUAAAUGCUUCAGAAACAAGAGGUCAUUGAAUUCUACACGGGAGUCAAUAUGUUGGCUGCCGAAUCAAACAGUUUACAGGAUAUCCAACUUGAAGUGUUUUAAGGACUUGGAUUGUUUGAGCAAAGCAAUAACAGCAGUCCUUUAAUAUGAGUUAUGUCUUUUUGUGGGUUCCACAUACGGCCAAUUCAUCUUUAUAAAUACAAAAUGUUCAAAGAAGGAAAAAUGCCCCUAAAAUAGGAAGAUGAGGUCGGGAACAUUCUGCUCAAGGCCCCGGAAAAAAAUGCAGCCGGUAGAACAUCAUCCUUCAAGCCGCGGAGUUUCUCCUCCUCGAAGGACCCGAUGGAUCCGACUUGUGAAGCGUCUCUAACGGCUCGUCAGCCCCCCGCGGUGCGUUCAUGAGCCGCUGUGUUUACAUUUGGAAACAAAUGGAAAUGACGAGUCGAUGGUCCCGCUGGGAACCGCUCCGACGUUCAUAGCGACGGAUGUAAAGUGAUGCAAAUGACGCGUGGAUGCUAACCCCCGCCGCCGCGACAGGAAAUGGUCCCGACGUUUGAGUCGUGUGAUGAAAGAACCGAAGGGGAACGUUACCGUGGCGUGUUCCAGUUCAAUACAGACAUGUUUGGGAACUGAUGAUGCUCUCUUUCUUCUUUUCUUGAAUUCCUUUACAAAGAGAAUCAUUGGACAAAGUCGAUACUCAUUCUGUGACAAUAAAUUAACCGUCUGACUUCUUAAAAUUCUGGAAAAAAACAUUCAUAUGUGAUUUAUAAUUUUGAGUUCAUUAUUUUAAUAUCAGGCUUUAAACAAAGAACACCCUGAAAACCCUUUUAAAGACAAUCAACGUUGUUAGGCCUUGAUCCGCUACUUUGUUCCGCUACAUUGUUCCGCUACUUUGUUCCGCUACAUUGUUCCGCUACAUUGUUCCGCUACAUUGUUCCGCUACAUUGUUACGCUACAUUGUUGCGCUACAUUGUUGCGCUACAUUGUUACGCUACAUUGUUAUGCUACAUUGUUACGCUACA